rnacentral:lncRNA from 1 species
UGUUCGGGCUCGUCGUCGGCUGCUUCGGCAUGUUCGCAGCCUGCCUGCCGGAGACGCGGGGAAAGGGCAUGUCGGACACCAUGGACGAGGAGGAGCACAAGGAGGCGACGGUGGCCGCUUGCACCGUCAACGAUGCCGACUGUAACAGCGGCCUCGUGUAAUUAAACUGCGGGUUGAUGUACAAAGUUGUUCCCGUUCCAAUCAAGUAAACUGCCGCCAGGUCGCAGCACAUUACUCAAAUCGCCUGCCUUCCAAAGGAUAAAUUAUAACAACUCUGAUAAGCUCUCAUCAAAGUCCGGUGAUGAGUAGAAAACACCACUCAAACAUAAAUCCUCACAAUAUACAAACUCUAAGGCAAAAUGGUUUGUCCUACGAGCAGUUUUAACUUGCUUCCUUUUAGGUAAAUGUUUACCCCGGCACGCCGGCCGAAGUCUUUCGUCGCUCGCGCGGACGUGCUAUCCGUUUUUAAUCGAGCGGUCCUCGUUUACCCGUCCAGGCUCAUAUGCAACAGACUCUUUCCUAGCUACACAUCCAGUGCCUUAUCCAUCCAUCAACCGCUCUUCUUCCCCCUCCAGCUUUUCUCCCGUUGGAAAAAUGCUUCGUCGACGUAAAGAAAUCUUCAACUGAUCAUUGAAAAAGCUUCGACGAGCAUGGAGAGAAAAGCUUCAAUCCAUGAGAAAAGGCUUCAACCAUUUGAAAAAGCUUCAUGUCCACGACCAUGUCCGACCAGUUCGACCGCGAGAUGCGCCCCGCAGAUGCCGACCCGCGAUGCUGCAACCGUUGACAUAAAAUGCUACAACCGUUGAUGAAUAAAGGUGCAACCAUACAUAUAAAAAGCUACAAGCAGUCAUUGUCAUGGCGGAAUGCUGCAACCGUUGACAUAAAAUGCUACAACCGUUGAUGAAAAAAGCUGCAACCAGACAUAUAAAAGCUGCAAACGGUCAUUACCAUGGCAGAAUGCUGCAACCGUUGACAUAAAAUGCUACAACCGUUGAUGAUAAAAGCUGCAACGAAGGACCGACAAGGUGUCCGUGUUUGUUGGCUCUGCAAGGACGACGACCGGCGGCGAGGACGUCCGACGAGAUGGGGCGAUGGGAGAAGGACCCCUCGACCGCCAGGGGGCAGGGGGGAGAGGGGAGGGGCGGGAUAGUGCCGCUGCGCGCUGGACGAGAAUGGUCGGCGAGGCGCUCGCGUUGUGGCUCAAGGUUGAAGACGAAGACGAGAUCUGACAGUCAGAGCCCCGAUCUGACGGCUGUUGUGCGACCGACGUGAGCCGUCGGGCUGGCGCGCCGGCGCCCAGCACUGCCCUUCCUUUUACCCUUUUUUUACAUGUGAGAUAAGAAAGUAUGAACUAAUCUGUAACCACUAAUUAAUAAGAUCGAUGGUUCAGAUCUAUCAUAUACUUUUACCUUCCAUGUAAAAAGAGGAGGUAAGAGGGAAGGGAAACUUUUAAAACCUGGAUGUAUAUACACCCUAUAAGAAAAAAAAAUAGCAACCUAACAAAAAGUCAAAAAAAUCUAAAAAUAUUUUUGAAAUAAACUUGACCUUUCAUUGUACCUUUAAGAAAAUUUCCAUAAAAAUAAAAUUAUACUUUGAUUUGUUUUCAAAAAGAUAAAUUUUCGAUCAAAAUAGUAUGAUAGUGACCUAUAAUAGCAAAUAAUUUUUGUCUUUUUUGCCCAAAAGUCAAUGUUGAUUUUUUUCGUAAAAUUUUGUAUACUAGUGCAAAAAAAAGUCAAAUUUAAUCUAAAAAUACUUUGAAACCAUUUUGACUUUCUAAUUAAUUAUCAAAAAGUAUUUCUCAUAUAAGAUGCAUAUAUAACUAGGAACCAAAGUAUAUUUCCCACGUAAGAGGGAGCAUGUUAAAAUUUGACAUGUCAUACACUAACCAACAAAACCACAUCUGGACCAAUGUUGGUCACCUCCAAAAAGCAAUAACUCCACAAGAACUCUCUUUGCCAACACACCAGCCACCAUUUAGUUGCCUAAAAGAGUUGGCAGAUGAGUGGCGAUCAGAUAUCUGUGAGAAAGUCAUCAUCUUAAACUCAUCGACGAUGGCGUACAUAGCGCAUCUCGCGAACAAUCUAGAACCGUGGCGAGCACGGGAGAAACACGAACUAGGACCUCCAAAACAAUGCUCCAAACCAAUGAACGACGCCAAGGAUCCGGAUCCAAACCUAUACUUUUGCCCGAAGACAUCCGAUCAAGUGAGAGGGAGCGAGGUGUCAACACACCACAACGAUGUCUCCAAGGAGGGGCACGACACUGACGGGCGCCAUCAUUGCUCGCACUGAUCGAAGACGGGCAUGACUUUCAUAUGAAUAGUCUCACACCUACAUCCCAAGCGAUCGAAAUGUGGCACACCGUCCAUGCAUGUUCACUCCUUCAUCACCGCCGCACCUCGCCCAUGGAACCACAUCACCACGUACCACCAACACCAUCGAAAGAACCAAACAUCACAACCACACCAAGCAACCAUAAAAAACGCCUACACAACGCAGAGGCUUGACAAAUCCAUGCCCCAUGGCAGCCAAGCACAACCACCACUCCAACAAACACAACCCACUGUCGUAGACGCCAUCAGCCUGUCAGAUUUGGGCGGAGCAUGAAACCACCAAAAUCAGAAACAGUCGUCCGCGACGCGACAGAGCCGCCUCAUCAUAUGUGGCACACUCCUUCCAAGCAGGCGUCGUGGAUGAGGUAGCGUCGCUACAACCAAGCCGUCCUUGCUCUCAUCAUACCAGAGCAGCACCGGAACAAGAUCGGGAUGUGAGCAACUCCACCUCCUGGACCACUGAGAAGGUCACGCCCGAGACCCGCACGACUACGCGCGAGCCAGAUCAUGUCGCCGCUUGCCGUCAACAGGUUUUGCCCGUCGAUGGCGGCAAGGGGUAGAGGAGAGCAGGGGCAGAGCCACGCUAUCAUCGUGCCCCCGGCCUCCUUCAUUGCUUCAGUAAUUAACAGGAUUAACAGUGUAAAAAUGAUAAAGUGAGAAAGGAAUUAAUACUCAUGCCCGGGGCCCAAGCACCCUCGGCCUAGGUCCUGGCUCCACCACUGGAGGAGAGAGAGGGACCGGCAUCCACGAUGGUUAGAGGAAGUACAAUAGGAUGACGUAGGCGGACUGUAAGACUUAAAAUAAUAUAUUUGUGAUGAGUUGGAAGAGAGAGAAGAUGAGAGAAAAGAGAAGCAGACUACAAACUAACAGCAGGCUGUAACACGUGCUCCUAGACACUUUAUGAGAGAGGAUGGUGGGCCUUGUAUCAAUAAAGUAGUACUCAUUUACAUCUAUCUAUUGUACUUACGGGCUAUAAGCUUGACUAUAAAUGACGUGUCAACAUCAUAUAGCCAGCAGCUGGCUGUACUAUUAACCAUGCUCUUAGGUUUCUGCCAGAGCCGCUCCUAGGAGCCUGGGGUGUUCAGAUCCAUGUCCUAUGGAGUUCGCAACACGUGAAAACUACAAUGGUCCUGAACAUUUCGGACAAAAAGAUUCAAUUAUUAUAAAACAGCUGGUCGUCCGAGUCACUGGUGACUGGUGAUGCCAAUGAUCAGAUGAGAGAUCGCAGCUUAUUCUAACUCUGCAUGGAAUCCGCUUGGAAGAUGCUGAUAGAUUCGUCGUACCAUAUACGUACAAAUAUAAAACUUGCAUAUAUACCAGGCAAAUUUGGCCAUGCUCUGCAGGGAGCAUAAUAGUUGUCUACCAAUGUCGGCGCAUAUAAAGGCACUUACCGUGUUGCACCCUGCAGCCAUGAGAACGGGAUACCGUUUCCACCCAUUUUAAUUUAGUUAUGCGACCUACUCCCUCCAUAUACAAGGCCAUUUCAUAUUUUUAUGUCUAACUUUAAUAAUUAAUUUUAUAAAAUUUACAAACAAAAUAUGAGUUAUAUUACCAUAAAAAGUAUGUCAUAUGAGUUAUAACUUUUCAAUGAUAUAUUUUUUAUGACAUAUAACCCAUACUUUAUUGACCAAAAUUAUAAGUUAAAGUUUGACAUGAGAAAUGGAAUGGCCUUGUAUAAAAAUGAAGGAAGUAUAUUGAAUUGCUUUGUUUUCUUUCAUUGUAUUAUUUUUGCUUGGAAAACGUAAUCCCAAGAUGGCGAUGGAUAAACAUAAUCACACGAAAGGGAAGAAAGCGAGUUCCACACACCGACAUGAAGCCCACCGUACACUCGCAAUUGAGACGUGCAGUAUGAAACAAAAACUCGAGAACACCCAUGCAAAAUAAAGACAAGGCAUGAAUGUUCAUUUCAUGUCUCUCGGGAUUGUGUGUGAGGGGUGGUAGUGGGGGGGGGGGAGUAUUACGGGUGAGCACAUGGGAAAGUGCAUGCAUAAAUCUUAAAGCAACAUACAUGCCUCAGAUAGGCCGAAGACACGUGAAGAUGAUCUCUCGUUCAUGGUGUGUUUUUCCCUCGUGAGGAACUUAAGAUUUGUGUGCACUUUAGAUCUAGGGAUCUAGAUAAAUCUGAGUCAACUAAUUUAGGACGAGAAAGGGGGCUCAGCAGGAAGAGGAUUGUAUCAUGAGAGAAGCACGGAGGUCAACCCGCUUCAAUUACGGAACAUGGAUUCAGGCAAUGCAACGGAGUUGGGUCCUCAUAUCGAUCCGAAUGAAUCACUCUUUCUACAGAGGUCAAUCUUUGCCUAUUAGGUAAGAGGAUAGCAAGUUCUAAAUUCUGUCUCGGUAGGACAUGGAUUUUAAUAUGUUUUAAUAACUCAUGAAUGUUUUUUCUCCCAAUUACAAACAGGCAGUGGAUAUGAGACUUCAUGGAUAUGAAUUAUCCUUUGUGUUGCAACCCUUCUUGUUUUGUCGAAAGUUUGUUGUUCCAAAACCAAAAAUAUGAGAGAACACAAAUGAUGAUGAUGAUGAUGAGAGAGAGAGAAAGGAAGUGGCCUUGUAUAUAAAAAUGGAGGGAGUAUAUUGAAUUGCUUUGUUUUUUUCAUACUAUUAUUUUGGCUUGGAAACGUAAUCCCAAGAUGGCGAUGGAUAAAUAUUUGGCAACAAAAUUGCCUAUGAUUUAUUUUUCGUGCUUAAGGAUGGAAAAUGUUUCAUUGUAUAUUGUUCAUAGGUAAAAAAAAUCAUGAAACGGGCAAUCACUCCUUUCCAUUACUUGAGCACAACGACAACGGAAUUGUUAAAGAUCUGACGUCAACUCAAAGAUUUUUCUUGAGCAAACCCAUUGUGGUACGUUUAAUUUCCGUGUAAGAAUCUCAUAGCAAGACGUGUGGCAAUCACUAUUUGCUCUGACGCACUACUCUGAGCGAACUUAGAGCCAUCAGCACUGAAAAAUUCGCUCAGGAUGGCAAUAUGAUCGAACACAUCCAGGAUGGCAAAUUCUACUUGUACAGCAUGACAAGUUUUACAAGUUCCCUUUGAUUAGCAUGUCAAUUUUCUUUGGCUGGAAUAGUCAAUCAUGAACAAGUUGGAAAUUUACCUUUUUAGGCUGGCAAUUGUCCAAUGUCGCAUCAUGGGAAAUACCAACAUGGCAACUAGUAUGUUGUAGCCUUAGAAAUUCCUGAUAAUUUUCUGCUAGCAUGACUACUUUUAUUUUACAACAUGGCAUUUUUUAUACAAUACAAUGGCAAAUAUAUUUGAUUUAGCAUGAUGAUUCUUGACAUUUGCUUCGAGCAGUUUUGGGGGGACACUCCCAGGUCACGGCGUUCUCUCGGGUGACCUCCCGUAAAAUACAAUAGUUUACUUAGGCGACCUCCGUGAGGGAGUGUCUUCUUAGACCUAGGGUCCUAAUGGUAAAGCAUCAGUAGUUUGAAAGACAGUGGACGAAAGGGAAGAAAGUGAGUUCCACACACUGACAGGAAGCCCACCGCACAGUCACAAUUGAGACGUGCGCUAUGAAGCAAAAAACUUGACAACACCCAUGCAAAAUAAAGGCGGGGCAUGAAUGUUCAUUUCAUGUCUCUCGGGGUUGUGUGUGAGAGGGGGAGAGGGAGUAUGAUGGGUGAGCACAUGGGAAAGCGCACGCACAAAUCUUAAAGCAACAUACAUGCCUCAUAUAGGCCCAAGACAUGCGAGGAUGAUCUCCGGUUCGUGGUGUGUUUUUUCCUUGUGGGGAACUUAAGAUUUGUGUGCACUUUACAUCUAGGAAUCUAGACAAAUCCGAGUCAACUAAUUUAGGACGGAGGUAAUCGGAAAAUGCCAAUGCAGCCCGAGCUAUAGGGAGCUCAGUAUUUUAAAAACAAUACAAAUUCAUAUUUCAAAGUUUCAAAAAGAUCAAAAAAAUAAAUCCAUGGUAACUUAUAUGAUUUCCGCACGAACGACUGUGAAAAAUCAUUUGAAUAUUUUGUAAUUUGUAGGCUGUACAAAAAAAACAAAAUUCUAGCCGACAAGAAAUAAUAUCAGCCCAUUGUAGAAAUACAUUUUUGUCUUUUUUUUCUAUGCGCCACGUGCGAAAGUAUUUGGUUAUGAAUUUUUGCACACACCGAAUACACAUGUGUGAGAGUGUAUAGAAUUUUUAUUUUUUUUCAUUCUGUGAAAAUUCGUAUUUUGAAACGAGCUCCGUGGAGCUCGGCCUGCAAAAGCCCUCACUACGGAGGUAAUACGUUUUAAUAACUCAUGAAUGUUGUUUCUCCCAAUUAGAAUCAGGUAGGAGAUAUGAGCCUUCAUGGAUAUGAAUUAUCUUUUGUGUUGCAACCCUUCUUGUUUUGUCGAAGGUUUGUUGUUCUAAAAGCAAAAAUAUCAGAGAACAUAAAUGAUUGAUGAUGAUGGCGAUGAGAGAGAGAGAGGAGGGGGGAGUACAGUCUAGUAGUAGUUUGAUAUAGGACCAUUAGUACAGAUGCAACAACUGUCUCCGGGUAAAGAAAAUUCAGAGCUCGAAUGUGUCGUCAUGGUCGCGUAAGUUUGGAGCAUCUUCCAGGCCCCAAGGCCAGGCAUUCCCGGUUCUAGCUCAGCUCAACUGUUCCACGCAGCUAGCAGCAGAUCUCAGUUUGGUUGUCAGGCGUGAUUUCCUGGUGAACAGACGUAAGUGCUAGCUACUUUCGCGUUAGAUCAAUUUCUUAUUAAUCGAUCAGAUCGACCCAUCCGAGCCAGACGCUCUUGUGCUGUUAUUUUGUUUCCACGUAUCGAUGGACACACGUAUAGGUAUAGCUCGCGGCUUACAAGCGUGCCUUCUGCGGUGCCAUGAGAGUAGGCACACUGCAAACCAACUCGUGGUUUUAUGAUUAAAGAAGCGGUGCUAUUUUCAGCUCACCAGGGUUUAAAUCCUGAUGCUUGCAUUAUUUUUGAAUUUGUGGUUUUAUGGUUAGAGGAAUAAUGAUAUGUCGGUUUAAUAUUUUAAAGGUACACAUAAAGGUAAAGUGUGUGUGCGUUUAUAGAGUGAAUAUAUGCAUUUGUAUGUAAGCAUUUACGUCUGUAUUGUGUUAAAAAAUUCAGGCACGCUGUAUGACCUGAUCAAGCCGAAUCAGCCGGAUGAUGGGCUUCCUAACCACACCAAGGAAAAAAAUACUGCAUUUACGGUUGGCUUAGAGCAUCUAAAGGCGAACUUGAUAAAUUUGAACCCUCGAACGUAUAUGGAUGAGUCAUAAGCUUUAUCUACAAUUUAGAGAUGACAAUAAGAACAUGUAUAAAAUGAGUUAUUUUUAGCUCUUUGUUUAAUAACUAGUUGUUCACAAAAAUAUGGUGAGACGUAGUACUGUGCUAAGCGUUCAUCUCUUAAAUAAAAAAAACAAGUUAUUUCUUAUGAAUUCUCACCCCCUACCUUAAUAUUUAACCAACCGGACACUUUUAAAAUAGCAUCAUUGUACAUGUCUUUACAAGCAUGCCUUCUACCAUGCAAUGCAUAUACACAGCUGUACAAUCCAAUCAAACUAAAUCAGCGGGAUGAUGGCCUGUCCCAACUACGUCAUGGAAAAAACACUGCCUUUACGGUCGGCUUAGAGCAUUUACACACGCCCCCUACCCGUCCUCCCUACACACCUAGAUAGACAGUCUGAUACACACCCAAUAAAAGAAUCUGAGUUAAGCGGGCUCCUCAUAUCAUUUCUAAAUAUUUAGGUUGACUGACAUCCCUUUUAUUAGUCCAAAUCUAGAUCAGCAUUGAAAAUGCCCUAACAUUGGAUGCCCAAGCCAUUCUUUCGCCUAUUGUUAUCUGUUGUAACAUGUACUCUCUUCCUUCAUACAUCGGUUGCUUUUUCGUCAAAAAACCCAAACGCCAAGCAACCUCCUUCAUUUCAUUGGCCCAUUUUUUUAUGUUUUCAUUGUUUGACCUUGAUUUGGGUAUUCGAUGACAUAGUAUAACAUCAAAAUACAUAGUUCAAACAUAAAUAUUAUUUGAAAAACAUAGUUUAAUUUAGAAAUAAAACUCAUCAAAAAUCUACCAGCAAGGAAUCCACCUUGUGUCCGGGCUGACCUCGCGAGCAGUCCGAGCAACCUUGUUUCUCCUCCACAUAUGACUAAGCUAGGGGAAGACAGAACACAAAUGACAUGGACAUAUACGACAUGUUUAAGAAAUCUUGUUGGGUGAUCUUUUGGGACAUAUCCGGAAUGUCUAGACACACGGGUGGGGUGGCUGGGUGGGGAAGGGAGCAUGGGUUGUGUCCUUAGGUCCGUGACGGUAGAGUGAUUCCAGUGACAUUCAACAAGGACCAUGCGAUAUCAAGCUAAUUUAAUUUGUCCAACCUAACCCGUGUCACAUUUUCGGCAUUCAUGUUCAUCCCCUUCACCUAUGGCAAGUAGUGAGAAAGGGUGGGAGGGAGGGCGAGUAGAUCAAGGGAGAGACUAGAGACAAGGAGCCAGAAAGAGUGUGAGCAAGCGUGCAAGAGAGAGUGGUUUACGUGACGAUUGGUGUUGAACGCCAUGUUGCAAUAUAUGGACAAUUAACUAAUUUUAUUAAGAAAUGUAAACUGUCAACCUUUAUGUAGUGAUCUAACUCUCAUUCGAUUAAAUCAAAUAAACUGAUUAUUUCAAUGCAAUUUAGAUUCUCAAUAUCACAUCCUUUAAGAAAAAAAUGACCGAGAUAAAAUGGUUAGAGAAAGUCGCUUGUGCUAGAGUUAGUACUCCCUUCGAUUCAUAUUACUUAGCCUAAACUAUUUUUCCAUGGCCAACGUUUUCUUUUAAUUUUCUUUUGUCUAGUUUUGCCUUUUAUUUAUAUCCAUUUCCUGCAAAAAAAAUGUUUUUCUAGCAGCGUCUAUAGUUGUUAUACUGAUGUGUACUUGUGUUUCUCCUUUCAUUCAUUUCCAUUUAUUUUACUGUUUGACAACUCAUGAAAUUUUUAGGAUGAAAUUUGUUGGCUCCUUUAUUUCAUCCUUUUUCUAAUGAGCAUUAUUUAUAAACAUCAUGCUCUUUUUUUUGGUUUCAUGUUCACUUUCAUCCUAUCCAAAAAUAACCAUGAUCUUUCCGCAAACAAUUUAACUAUUUUCUACUUUAUCUAGAAUUUGGUCCCACUAGUAGCCUUGAUUUGUUUCAUGAGCAUAUUUGUUUCUUUUGUUUUGUCUGUUACCAAUUGGUCCAUUGGCACUAAUUUUUUUUCUUCCAUUGGCACUAAGUUUUUGUCCCACUGUCUAGAAAUUUUCUGCCUUGUGGUCAUAUUUUUUUUUCACUUACUCUAGACAUUUGUUCUAGUCGAAGCGUGAGCUGUUCCUUGAGCUAGAAGUUUUUGUCUUUAGAAAAGUAAGUAAUUUUUGUUUCAAGUACUCUAAAGGUUUGUUCCAGUAGAAGUUGUGAUUUGCUUUAGCAGCACUAAAUCAUGUUCCACUCAAUCUAAUAUUUUUACCUUGUGGUAGUUGUGACUUGUUCCACACCUAUUGUUUACUCAACAUACUCUAAACUUAUUCUCUGGUGCACGUUCUAAUCUUUUAGCACUAAGUUUUGCUCCAUUUAACUAAAGUUUUAUUCCAUCAAUAUUUCUAGUUUUUACGGUGAUCAAUUAAAUUUUGUUACAUUUACUGUAACAUUUUGCUUCACUGGUGUUGAUCUCUCCCCCGAACAAUUAAAUUUUGUUCCAUUGACUCGGAAUUCUUUUUUUUUCCGAAAAGAAUGAAGACCUCCGGCUUUUACAUCUGGGCGAUGCAUGCAGCCACUACUUAAUUUUGUAUGUGCUUUUGGUUUUGUUAACGAGUAAAUAAAAUUUUGUUCUACUUAAUCUAAACUUGACUAGUGCAAUCAUGAUUUGUUACGUUGCAUUUUCAUUUUAUAAAGUAAAGAUUUGUUGCAUAUGCACUGAUUUAUUAUUUCAUCUGAGAUAAUUUAUUCUUUCUACUUUCUGUGAAUAAUACAUUUAUAUAAAUACACUAACAUUUCUUUUAAGAUACUUUUACACAAACAUCUUCUUUUGAUAAAUAUGAGCAUUUGUUCUUGAACAUAUAGGUCUUUGUAUAAGAAAUAUUUACAUAUAUUUUCCAUUAUCUGUUUGUCGGUAACCCCUGGCCCGCACGGACCGAUGGACUCGUCUUACCUUUUCAAUGCACAACUACGCAUAGUCAUAUCCGAGAGCUCCUAUGCGCCGCAAUUCGUGGCGAGUGACCGCUUGAUGCACAUUGAGUCAGUGGCAAGUCUAGUAGGCACCCAAGCACUAUAGUAUUUUUUAUACUUUCUCCAUUUUUCUGUGAUUUAUUUUAUUAUCUGUUUAUUUUUAAUUCAUUUUCCUUCUCUUUCUUAUUCUUUGGAAUAUCAUUUUUUUCUUCAAAAUUUUAAAAAAUGUUCAAAAGCUGAAAAAAUGUUCCUAUUAUUAUUUUUUAUUCAAAAAUUCAAAAAAAAUUGCGUAUUGAAUAAACAUGUUACCAUUCAGGAAGUAUUCAUAACUUUAAAAAAUAUUCGCGAUUUUCAAAAGGGCGCUACUACAAAUCAACCAACAGAUUUGCCAAGGAAAUCAGCCGGGUUGACAGCCGUACGAUCACCUGUCCUACAUCUGUUGGACCAACCAACUCUCUUCCCCUCCACGACUCCAUCAAUUUGACGCAGCACUGAGAACUCUGGGUGAUGUCCACGACAGCAUCAAAUCCAGCCCCCAACGACACCCCUCCCCUCCCCUGGCGAAGCUCCAUUGCAAUCCCAGGCGAUGAGAGAAAGCUACAAGGCAACACCGUCGACGCUGGCGAAGCUCCAUUGAAGCUCCACGGUGCUCCCAUGUAAGCAUCCGCAAAGCUCCAUUGUAGCCUGAUGACCCCGACAAAGCUCCAUUGAAGCACCACCAGUGCUCCGAUACAGCAUCUACGAAGCUCCAUUGUAGCCCGACGACCCCGACGAAGCUCCACUGAAGCACCACCGGUGCUCCGAUGCAGCAUCCGCGAAGCUUCAUUGUAGUGCCGGUGAAGCACCAUUGCAACUCCCGCGACGCUUCAAUGGAGCUCCGACAGGGUGGUUUAAAACCUCACCGGCUGCUUCUGCUGCCACCGGCGAGCCUGCAACACCGCAUCGCUGCCCCCUUUCCAGCACGGCUUCGUUGCCACUCGUCGUCAAAACAACAGCCCCUCCCGUCGCAGCGGCACCCCUCCUUCAUAGAAGCAGCAACUAUGACGACCGGGAUGAGAGAGGUCAUGCAGGGUGAGGCGCUCGGGGAUAGGAAGAAAGCAGAGUGUGUACAGAGGAGAUCGGGCACAUAUGAAGGAGGAAGAUGACUCAGUUAAGGGAGAAGAUGAAGUUGAGGGAAAAUAUAAGGCCAUGGGGGAGGAUGGUUUAGUGGUUCUCACGGACACGUGUUAGCUCCUCGAGGCUUAUUUAGAAUGUUUUCCUUUUCAAAAUGUAUUUGGGAUUUUCAAAAAAUGUUCGUGUUUUUUGAUUUGUUUGAGAGUUUCAUAAAAUGUUUUCCUGAUUUUGAAAAAAUAAAAAAAGUGAUUUUUUAAAUUCAUGGAUACUUUUUGAAACACAAACAUUUUUUUAUGAAAAUCAUGAACAAAUUUCGAGAAUGAGACUAAUUUUUUAAACACGAACAUUUUAUGAAAAUCAUGAACAAUUUUUGAAAAGGUGAACAAUUUUUCAAACACAAAUAUUUUUAUUAAAACAUGAUUUUUUGUUGAAAAACAAAAACAUAUUCUUAAAUCCAUGAUUUUGUUUUCAAAAUACGGAAAGUUUUGAUAAAUCAUGAAGUUUUAAGAAUACAAGAACAAUUUUUGGAACACAAUUUUUUUUGAAAAUACGAACACAUUUUGAAAGAAAAAACAUUUUUUGCACUUCUUGAUUAUUUUUGAAGCACGGACAUUUGUAUAAAAAUUGUGAAUAGAAUUUUGAACACCAGAACAUUUUGCAAAAUUAAAACAAAAUUAGAAAGUGACAAACAAAAAGAAUAGUAAAACAAAAAAAAAA